ACAGAGGUCCCAAGCGUUGUUCGGAAUCACUGGGCGUAAAGGGUGCGUAGGUGGCGUGGUAAGUCAGAUGUGAAAGCCCGGGGCUCAACCUCGGAACUGCAUCCGAUACUGCUGUGCUAGAGUACUGGAGAGGUGACUAGAAUUCUCGGUGUAGCAGUGAAAUGCGUAGAUAUCGAGAGGAAUACCAAAGGCGUAGGCAGGUCACUGGACAGUUACUGACACUGAGGCACGAAGGCCAGGGGAGCAAACGGGA
rnacentral:rRNA from 1 species